UGUUGCUGGCGUUGUUAACUGGCAACGGUGGUGCAUAAACGGACUGUGACACCUGCUGGCGACGCUGAUGCCGUGCGCUGAGCCUGCAAGCAGCACUUACCGCAAAUCUUCAUCGAUGGAGGUGGCAUCGUCAUCGUUAUAAUGCCGGAAACUUUCCAAAUCACGACGCAGCGUUGGCGUCCCCAUAGCAGCGACGUCAGCAGCACCGCCCACGCGACGUUUUUGGCUGUUGUUGCUGUUGUUGCUCUGACCAUAUAAGUCAGCUUGCUCGAGUCGCUGGGGCCAAGUUGAUGAUGUUGCUGGAGCUGCUGCUGCUGUUGCUGUUGCUGUUGCUGUUGCUGUCUGUCCAACAAUUGCAUGUAGGCUUAUUUUGCCCGCAUUUCUGUGGGUGUUGUUGUUGCCAGCUGCUCCACCCGCUCCACCCGCUGCAGUUGUUAAAUUUGAAUUGUUGCUGCUUUGGCUGGAAAUACUCGAACUGCUUUUCUGUAAAUGGCAAGCAAACAAAACAAAAAUAUACAGAUUUUGACGCAUUAGCACGACUGAGUGCACUCUGAGGGCUGAGGGGCAAUGGCUGUGUCUUUCAUAAGGAAGUUCUUAAAAAAAAAAAAAAACUAUACGAGUGAAUUUCCGCAUUAUAAGCUCUUAAAGUAUGAUUGAUUAUGAUUGACAUGACUCUUGGACUCUUGGAAAGCUGGGCAAAUGGUUGAGCAUAUUCUGAUCUUAUAAUAAGGAGAUAGAAAUUAAAUAUUUGCGGCUGUGUAACAUAUUCAAAAGUGUGUCUUUGCAGAAUAGCGAUUUCUAGUUGUCCUCUCUUCAUUCACGAAUAGAAAUCGGCAUGUUGCAUGAGCACAUUGUGAAACACAGCCGGGAUCCAUCAGGAUUGUCUUUCUAACGGCGCUGUCCAAACGGCCAUCGCACUCUCACUCGGGAACGGCCGACUUACGUGGAUUAAAGACUGGUUGUCCCCCAUGCUUAGCUCAAUUUAAACGCCAACCACCGCCACAACGACAACAACAACAACAACAGCAAGAGAAGCAGCAGUAACCCAACUCAUAACGACGUGCUUGAUGCUGGAAGUGUCACAUGAGACCCGCGAACAUGCAACAGUUAAAGUUAAACUUAAGACUUGUCAACAGACUCUGCAAACACCCGAACCGGUUGGCGGGUGACCUAGCAAAUGAAAACUGUCCUCGCACGCUCCAGCAGAUGACGAUUGAAGACCCCACCAAGUAAACCCUCCUUCGGGGCUUCAUUUUGGUUGACUUUUUUAAUGCCAUGUAUUAUAUACUUGUAUCCAAACUUAAUCAAUGUCCAAAUGAACAGAACUUCAAUAAACUUCCACACAAAAAAUAAAAAAAAUAAAUGUUUUUUUGUUAAGGAGUAA